UGCUGCUCCAUCUCGCGGCAGGCCAGACAUGAAUAACUGUUGUCUCCUUCUUUACUAUCGUUGAAAAAAUAUGGCGGUUGGUGACCACGUUAUGAUUUGGAUUUUGGAUUGUCAACGGUACUUUCCGUGUGUGUUAACCUACAGUAACAAGACCCACGGAUAACAAAAGACGUUUACAUCAAAAGUUCGUAAGAAAGAAAGCUUUUGAAUAAAUUUACGAAAAGGACGAAAAGAGCUUGCGAAAUGUGAACGUACGGUAUGAAUGCAGGAUAUCAGCCAGAGGUCAUUCAGGCCCACUUUAAAUUAAACAAGCAUUAUUAAGCAUGUUCUAUGAGGACCUUGGAGAGUAUGAAAAGUGAUACCAGUUAUCUUUGAUAGCUGCAUAUUUAUCUCCUCAAGAUGCCGAUGAAUGGCUACGAUUAGCCGAGGUUUGUUUGAGUAAAAAAGAUGAGCUGCAGGUGCAAAUGCUUUGCCAAAGCUUUUCAAAGCAUUUAAUAGCAGUAGGCCUGUCAUGAUCAGAACUAUGGAAAAUAUUCUGUCCACCAGGGAAUGACGCCUUAGGAGAAAGAACUGCGGUUGCGAUCUUCAACAAUAUUGCGUAACAAUAUUGCGUCUUUGCAUGAAUUUUGAUGCUUUAAGACUUGGAGACCAUAUUUUCCACCACUUCGAGAAGCUGAGUAACAUUCUACUUGUACAAUGUUAAGAAUGGCACCUUUUGAUAAAAGGAACUUCAACCAUCCAAUCUAGGACUUCCAUCCAAUCGUGCAGGCUGCAAGGAAGUCGCAUUUACCUUUGCUGUGAACAUCAUGAACACAUACACUUUUUGAAGGUUCAUGUUUACAUAGCAGUGGUGUUGCUGUCCAAUGUGGCGUGUUGUUGCAGCCUAUGACAGGGGUGAAAGAUAUCUGCAUCAAGUUGCUGUUCCUUGUGCAUCCAAGGUGCUGGUUUUGUGCUACAGAAGUUGCAUUCAGUAUUGUGUUUAAUUGCUAUUUGUGUCUAUGCAGUUUACCUUUUAUAUUUUGAGAAGGAACAAAAAAAAAGUAAUACGGGGAGGUUUAUGUCAAACAAAUAAUAAACAUGUCCGCGAUUGGGGAAUGAGGAGGAAGUUGGGGUGGGAUAUUUGAUUAUCAUUUACUAAAAGAAGUGAGGUGUGUUUUUAAUGAAUACGCAAUACUUAGUGAUAAAAUCUGUUGUUAACCUAUCUAACCUUCCUCACUUACACAUCCAUUCCUCAAACCCCAUAAACACCAACAUCAAAUCCCACAUCCACUUACAUCCAUUCCUCAAACCCCACAAUCUCCAACAUCAAACCACACAAUUGUUGUAUAUCUAUAACCAUCUAUAUAUAUAAAUAAAUGAAAUGUCAUUGUA
rnacentral:lncRNA from 1 species